rnacentral:rRNA from 1 species
GAUGAACGCUGGCGGCGUGCCUAAUACAUGCAAGUCGAGCGAACAGACGAGGAGCUUGCUCCUCUGACGUUAGCGGCGGACGGGUGAGUAACACGUGGAUAACCUACCUAUAAGACUGGGAUAACUUCGGGAAACCGGAGCUAAUACCGGAUAAUAUAUUGAACCGCAUGGUUCAAUAGUGAAAGACGGUUUUGCUGUCACUUAUAGAUGGAUCCGCGCCGCAUUAGCUAGUUGGUAAGGUAACGGCUUACCAAGGCAACGAUGCGUAGCCGACCUGAGAGAGUGGUCGGCCACACUGGAACUGAGACACGGUCCAGACUCCUACGGGAGGCAGCAGUAGGGAAUCUUCCGCAAUGGGCGAGAGCUUGACGGAGCAACGCCACGUGAGAGAUGAAAGUCUUCGGAUCGUAAAACUCUGUUAUGAGGGAAGAACAAAUGUGGAAGUAGCUAUGCACGUCUUGACGGUACCUAAUCAGAAAGCCACGGCUAACUACGUG